rnacentral:rRNA from 1 species
UACGUAGGGUGCAAGCGUUGUCCGGAAUUAUUGGGCGUAAAGAGCUCGUAGGCGGUUUGUCGCGUCUGCUGUGAAAACUCGGGGCUUAACCCCGGGCCUGCAGUGGGUACGGGCAGACUAGAGUGCGGUAGGGGAGACUGGAAUUCCUGGUGUAGCGGUGAAAUGCGCAGAUAUCAGGAGGAACACCGGUGGCGAGGGCGGGUCUCUGGGCCGUAACUGACGCUGAGGAGCGAAAGCGUGGGGAGCGAACAGG